rnacentral:tRNA from 1 species
GGGGAUGUAGCUCAGUGGUAGAGCGCUUGCCUAGGAAGCUCAAGGCCCUGGGUUCGGUCCCCAGCUCCG